GUAACGCGUGGGAACCUGCCUGGCAGUGGGGAAUAACCUUGGGAAACUGGGGCUAAUACCGCAUACGCCCUUUUGGGGAAAGAUUUAUCGCUGUCAGAUGGGCCCGCGUCGGAUUAGGUAGUUGGUGAGGUAACGGCUCACCAAGCCGACGAUCCGUAGCUGGUCUGAGAGGAUGACCAGCCACACUGGGACUGAGACACGGCCCAGACUCCUACGGGAGGCAGCAGUGGGGAAUAUUGGACAAUGGGGGCAACCCUGAUCCAGCAAUGCCGCGUGAGUGAUGAAGGCCUUCGGGUUGUAAAGCUCUUUCAGGUGGGACGAUGAUGACGGUACCACCAGAAGAAGCCCCGGCUAACUUCGUGCCAGCAGCCGCGGUAAUACGAAGGGGGCUAGCGUUGUUCGGAAUUACUGGGCGUAAAGCGCACGCAGGCGGUGUGAUCAGUCAGAAGUGAAAGCCCCGGGCUCAACCUGGGAACUGCUUUUGAUACUGUCACGCUAGGAUCCGUGAGAGGGCAGUGGAAUUCCGAGUGUAGAGGUGAAAUUCGUAGAUAUUCGGAAGAACACCAGUGGCGAAGGCGACUGCCUGGCACGGUAUCGACGCUCAUGUG
rnacentral:rRNA from 1 species